rnacentral:rRNA from 1 species
UACGUAGGGUGCAAGCGUUAAUCGGAAUUACUGGGCGUAAAGCGUGCGCAGGCGGUGAUGUAAGACAGUUGUGAAAUCCCCGGGCUCAACCUGGGAACUGCAUCUGUGACUGCAUCGCUGGAGUACGGUAGAGGGGGAUGGAAUUCCGCGUGUAGCAGUGAAAUGCGUAGAUAUGCGGAGGAACACCGAUGGCGAAGGCAAUCCCCUGGACCUGUACUGACGCUCAUGCACGAAAGCGUGGGGACGAACAGG